rnacentral:tRNA from 1 species
GCAUCCGUAGCUCAGCAGGAUAGAGCGACCGCCUCCUAAGCGGUAGGUCAGCGGUUCGAAUCCGCUCGGGUGCGCCA